ACCAACUCUGUUGUGACAGCCGGAUGGCGACAACCGCACCAGAAAGAAGAAGUAGAGGAGUUUCGCCGAAACAGCAAAACACAGGCAUCGAAUCACGUUGAACUGGCCCAUUUAAUAGGAGUUUUGUCUUUGUGCGGUCCGCGGAAUCGCCAGAAAUCGCAGAGUUGACAUUUUUUUCCCUUCGCGCGUGACAUAACGGAGCCCGGCUUCGUACGAAACACGUUCCCGAUCCGCUCAGGUUGGGCUCUAAACCUGCG